AGUAGAAAUGAAGUUAUGGGAAAACACUUGAAUCAUUCUGGAGGGAUGGUAACAACAUCCUUGUAUUUCUUGGGAUAGAAUUCAGUGAAAUGACUCGCUGGAAAUAGUAUGAGCUACUUAUGCUGAUCGAUGACUGCAUUGGUGCUUGAACAUUUACCGAGCAACCAGACACAAGCAGUCUGCUAACAGGUUUUAGGUGGAGAGCUAUUGGAUUCGGAAUUGACGCUGAAAAAACGAAUAAUACAUUUUGGAUUCCAGAGGUUCCUCCCACUAACUGGUCCCCUCCUAUUCAUAUUCCAGUCUCUCAUUCAAAUCAGUG